rnacentral:rRNA from 1 species
UACGAGAGGAGCAAGCGUUAUCCUUAUUGAUUGGGCGUAAAGGGUUCGUAGACGGUCGAGGGCUGUUUCUUGUGAAAGAAUGGGGUAGUACCUCAUAAAGCGAUUAAUACAGUUUGACUAGAGUUUAAGAAAGAAUAAUAGAAUUUAAAAGGGAGGAGUGGAAUCCUAGGAUCUUUUAGAGAAUACCAGAGGCGAAAGCGAUUAUUUAGCUUAAACUGACGUUGAGGAACGAAGGCAUGGGUAUCAAAUA